rnacentral:rRNA from 1 species
AGCUACAGGCUUAACACAUGCAAGUCGAGGGGCAGCAUCAUCAAAGCUUGCUUUGAUGGAUGGCGACCGGCGCACGGGUGAGUAACACGUAUCCAACCUGCCGACAACACUGGGAUAGCCUUUCGAAAGAAAGAUUAAUACCGGAUGGCAUAGUUUUCCCGCAUGGGAUAAUUAUUAAAGAAUUUCGGUUGUCGAUGGGGAUGCGUUCCAUUAGGCAGUUGGCGGGGUAACGGCCCACCAAACCAACGAUGGAUAGGGGUUCUGAGAGGAAGGUCCCCCACAUUGGAACUGAGACACGGUCCAAACUCCUACGGGAGGCAGCAGUGAGGAAUAUUGGUCAAUGGACGAGAGUCUGAACCAGCCAAGUAGCGUGAAGGAUGACUGCCCUAUGGGUUGUAAACUUCUUUUAUACGGGAAUAAAGUGAGCCACGUGUGGCUUUUUGUAUGUACCGUAUGAAUAAGGAUCGGCUAACUCCGUGCCAGCAGCCGCGGUAAUACGGAGGAUCCGAGCGUUAUCCGGAUUUAUUGGGUUUAAAGGGAGCGUAGGCGGGUUGUUAAGUCAGUUGUGAAAGUUUGCGGCUCAACCGUAAAAUUGCAGUUGAUACUGGCGACCUUGAGUGCAACAGAGGUAGGCGGAAUUCGUGGUGUAGCGGUGAAAUGCUUAGAUAUCACGAAGAACUCCGAUUGCGAAGGCAGCUUACUGGAUUGUAACUGACGCUGAUGCUCGAAAGUGUGGGUAUCAAACAGGAUUAGAUACCCUGGUAGUCCACACAGUAAACGAUGAAUACUCGCUGUUGGCGAUAUACGGUCAGCGGCCAAGCGAAAGCAUUAAGUAUUCCACCUGGGGAGUACGCCGGCAACGGUGAAACUCAAAGGAAUUGACGGGGGCCCGCACAAGCGGAGGAACAUGUGGUUUAAUUCGAUGAUACGCGAGGAACCUUACCCGGGCUUAAAUUGCAACUGACGGAACCGGAAACGGUUCUUUCUUCGGACAGUUGUGAAGGUGCUGCAUGGUUGUCGUCAGCUCGUGCCGUGAGGUGUCGGCUUAAGUGCCAUAACGAGCGCAACCCUUACGGGUAGUUACCAUCAGGUUAUGCUGGGGACUCUACCCGGACUGCCGUCGUAAGAUGUGAGGAAGGUGGGGAUGACGUCAAAUCAGCACGGCCCUUACGUCCGGGGCUACACACGUGUUACAAUGGGGGGUACAGAAGGCAGCUACACGGCGACGUGGUGCUAAUCCCAAAAGCCUCUCUCAGUUCGGAUUGGAGUCUGCAACCCGACUCCAUGAAGCUGGAUUCGCUAGUAAUCGCGCAUCAGCCAUGGCGCGGUGAAUACGUUCCCGGGCCUUGUACACACCGCCCGUCAAGCCAUGGGAGCCGGGGGUACCUGAAGUCCGUAACCGCGAGGAUCGGCCUAGGGUAAAACUGGUGACUGGGGCUAAGUCAUAACAAG